AGCCGCCGUCGGUGCAGAUCUUGGUGGUAGUAGCAAAUACUCCAGCGAGGCCCUAAAAGACUGACGUGGAGAAGGGUUUCGUGUAAACAGCCGUUGCACUCGAGUCAGUCGGUCCUAAGCCCUAGGAGAAAUCCUAUCCAAUAACGGCGUACUUAUACUCAAGUGUUUACUCUCUGUCUCGCACUCGCACACUCUCACUCGUCGCGCGUGACGCGCGCGCCCGCGUGCCGGGCGACGCUGUACGUCGAGCUGAACGACGAGCUGUGUGCGCGCGAGCUCAAGUGUUCUGACACACGCCCGUCGGGCGAAAGGAAAUCCGGUUCCUAUUCCGGAACCCGGCAGCGGAACCGCAUACAAUUCGGGCCCUCGUAAGAGUGUUCGUCGGGGUAACCCAAAAUGACCUGGAGACGUCGUCGGGAGAUCCGGGAAGAGUUUUCUUUCCUGUAUAAGUGUUCGAGUUCCCUGGAAACCUCUAGCAGGGAGACCCAUAGGGUUUGGAACGCGAAGAGCAUCGCAGUUGCGGUGGUGUCCGGAUCUUCCCCUCGGACCUUGAAAAUCCAGGAGAGGGCCACGUGGAGGUGUCGCGCCGGUUCGUACUCAUUUCCGCAGCAGGUCUCCAAGGUGAAGAGCCUCUAGUCAAUAGACUAAUGUAGGUAAGGGACGUUGGCAAAUUGGAUCCUUAACUUCGGAAUAAGGAAUGGCUCUGAGGAACGGGGCGUGUCGUGCUUGGUCGGGAAACGGGUCUGGCUGACGUGCCGGGCCUGGGCGUGGUGAACGCUAGGCUUUCUCGCGCCGAACACGGGAUCCGAGCUCGGUCCCGUGCCUUGGCUUCCCGCGGAUCUUCCUUGCUGCAAGGCUCCCGUGGCGGCGCGAGCCGUCGCAGUCGUCCUCUUCGGCCGCCUUUCAACGCUCAGCUCAGACCUGGCACGGACUAGGAGAAUCCGACUGUCUAAUUAAAACAAAGCAUUGCGAUGGCCCUCGCGGGUGUUGACGCAAUGUGAUUUCUGCCCAGUGCUCUGAAUGUCAACGUG
rnacentral:ncRNA from 1 species